AUAUGUGCAGGGGGACACUGAGAACCUAGGACAUUACAUUGGCAUUGCAUGGUGUGUCCAAACCCCUCGCUAAUACGGUGAAUAGGUGAACAAGUUGGGGUUCUGAAAGCAAUUCUGUGGCACAGAAGAAUUCUUGGAAGCUAGGUCAGGAGACAAUAAAUACCAGUGCUGAUGAAGCUGACAAAUUCAAGUACAUUCUUCGAAAUAGCAUUUUUCUCUGGCAAUGUAAUUUUAGUUUGGAGUGCAGCAAUAAUUGAAUUCCUGGGACUGAUUUGAUAACAGGUGUGGUACUGCACUUCCUAUUGAAGGGUGGAGAUGAA